AACGUAGACAUGGCCGACGCGGCCGGGUCAAAGUGUAUUAUCUGUUCUUAUCAGCUUAAUGUCUGAUACGGGUUGUAUUUGGACCCAAGAUAUUAAAUUUAAGUUUGCAAGUUGGCGGCUUGAAGCAGCCUUAAAGCCUGCUUCACCUCCGCCGCGGGUCGGCCCGGUAUUCCUCUAUCUCCGGCAUCGCCCCACGGUUC